UUACGAUCACAUCUCGUUGAAACACUGGUUCCCGUAUGAUCACCGAAGUUAAGCAACGUCGAGCCUAGUCAGUACUCAGAUGAGUGACCGCUUAGGAAUAUCGGGUGCUGUAAG